CAGUCCUGGCACUACUUGCAAGGGCCUCAACGCUGGAAGAAAUAGAUUUGGAUGCUCUUCAAAGAACGCUGCUGUGGUUCUGCCGUUUUUAACUUUUUACCUUGCUGUUCUUUCUCCCCACCUCUUCCCUGGGGAACUGAAGGGAUUCCUGAAGCUGUGUAGAAAUUCCAUAGUAAACAAAAAAUCUGGCAAAUUCUAUCCAUCCCAUGGAACAUGGACAGAUAUUCAUGAUUCUCUGUGGAGUAACAGGAUCGUGUGAGCUGGACGGGCUGCAGGUCGUUCCAAAAAAGACAGGGACAGAACAGCCAAUGGAAAACCGCAACUCCUCUGCUGUGUGCCCAUCCUGGGAAAAGGAACCUCCAUCUCCUGGGUGCUGGGGACCCCUCCUGCCUUUGUGAGACAGCGCAGGUGACAUUUUGUGAAGGCCAGAGGUUUGAUCAUGAUGUUCUGGCCUUUAAAUCCCUCUAGAGGGGAAGAGUUGUUGUAGUUGUUCUUGUGUAUUUGGGAUGGAGAAAUCGGUGCCUUUGUUCGCGUUACGCUCUCCGGUAUUGCCUGCUGCCCAGCAACUAGGAGGCAUCAAUGUGUUUUUUGGAAAACUUUUAAAGGCACAUCUGAGUGAUUCUGACAGCGGCUGCGUGCCUGUGGCUAAUGAAAGGUUUUCACAUUCUUUUCCAUAUACUUCAAAAUGCCAAAGGAAAUGUCCCAGUGACUCAAAUUAUAGGUGUUGCUCAGGAGAAAUGGCUGCAUUGUUGUUGAACACUUGGAAUUGGCAGCAGGCUGGAAGAAGAAGGCACUGGGCACCCAUAGCUGCCUUAGCCACCUCCAGCAGCAGGUCAGUGUGCGAGCCACAGCCUAAUGGGACCAGCCCUGUCCCACUGCCACACUCUGCUCUGAUUCUGUCUCUCAAACCCGCCUGUUCCCUGCGGAAACAAAAGUGAGGUUUGUUUCAGUCUCAAAGCAUUCAUCCCGUGAAAUUAAGCCAUGGAUGGAUUUGGAGAGGUAUCUUUGCUGAUAUUACUGGACAUUCAUAAGAGGAUAAAGUGUAUCUGCAUCCCACAGCUGGAGAUGUUCUGCAGUCCCUCUGCUAUUUAUUUUAUUUCUUUAACAUCUUGACAGUAAAACUGUUGGAACCAGGUUUGCCAAAGAUAUUUCUUUUUCUUCCAACCUAUCAUCUCCUCUCAACCUGUCUAAGGAAAGCAUUCUUGGCAUGGCAGAGGGAGCCCUUUAUCCCACUGCUUUGCCUUUGAAGUUGAGCUCUGCAACACGAUUGGGAUAUGGCCAGGAAAGAAAAAACGAAGUAUGGCGCUGCCAGUUGGCUGCAUGUUCAUUGUGCAAAGGUGGUAUUGGAGGAAAAACUUCCAUCUCACAGAAGAAGCAGUGGGAGGACGGUAUUGUUGGUUCUGUUUACAUUACUUGAUGCAACACGGAAGCUGCAUUCAAGAUUGAGGCCCAGGUGUGCUAUAUACAAACUCAGGUUGGCAGCCAGCUCCUGCACUGAUGGAUUUCAUGCAAGCAACAAGUCCACACCACAGGCGGCGUUUCGGGCUCCGCACUGCAAGGUUUCGUGAAGGAUCAGCCCAUGAGUACACGAGGAUGUUGGAUCGGGGUUUGGAUGGGGAUCUUGCUGAACAGGCACAGAGAAGUUACAAGGCUCUGGGGACAGGAGUGGGAGACAUUCAGCUCUGCUCAUGUUAGUGGAAGCUUUGCUGCAGAAUGGAGCGUCCAAGAGCCCGCCCUUGCUGCAUGACUGUCACCGCUUGACCCAGGAUCCAGGCUUUAUGUGUGCUGAGAUAACAGAGCGGACAAAGAGUCCAAUACUCCGUUGGGAAACAUGAAGUUAAGAAAAAGGAAUGCUAAAAAAACAGUGUUUUUCCCCAAAUUCCUCCACAUUUUCACAAGCACUUACUCGCACACCAUUCCUCUCUUAUGAGCUGAGAUGUGUUAUUGUAUUGGGAACGCACACGGGAGCCUCAGCCCAUGGCUGUGCAGUGAUUGCUGCUCCCUGGGGCUCGGCAGGAGGAGGUGCCCCGUGUGCAGUACAGCCCUGGGGAACCCUCCUGCCCCAUUCCCAGCCCCAGGCGGUGCUGUUCUAUGGAGCUACCGGAGAUGGGAAGGAUCAUCCAUCCACUGGCUGCUUCCAGACUGCUGUUUGUUUGGGAAAAUCACACUGGAGAUAAGAUGUUAAAACACAGAUAAUGACAUUUCCUUGAUAUGAGUGUAAUUCUCAUAGGCUGCUUUGAGUUCUGCCCUACGUGCCUCCACAUGGCUUCGCUUCGGGUCUCUGCUGAAAGCGACAGGGGAGAGUCCUGCACUGUUGACAUUUGCUCUACAAAAACAUUUCCAGCUCUUCUUAGGGCCUUUUUUCAGCCACAGAAACCAGUCCAACCACUUCCCCACCAACACUGUGUUCUUCACGAGGAGCAGAUGGGGCUGGCUGCCAUCGUGCCUCUGCCCUUCUCUCAUUAACACCUCUUCGUCUCACGCUGGGGAAAUUUGGAACUUCCAUCCUGAACAGAGGGCAAAUGGAGCUGCGUGGAGACCCACUCUAACAGUGUGCAAAGCCCAUGUGAAAAUAGAAGAGCCUUCCAAGCCUGCGGGCCCUGCUGUCUGUUAUGGCAGCCGUGGGGUGUAAUAAACUUUUAAGCGGAGCUGAGUGGUGCGGGGCUCUGUUGGCAAUGUUGCAGUGAAUGCUCUGUCCAAGCGCCCACAGAAUCAUAGAAUCCUUGGAGUUGGAAGGGACUUUAAAGGUAUCUGGUCCAAAUCCCCUGCCACUUACAGGGACAGGCAUAGCUCCAUCAGGUAGCCCAGAGCCUGGUCCAGCCCAGCCUCGAAAGUCUCCAGGGAUGGGGCAUCACCACCUCUCCAGGCACAGGUCAUGCAGCUGAGCACCCAAUUCUCCCCCGACCAACAUUGGGACAGGGGCAUUUUGCUCUGUGCUCUGCUCUCUGCCCCUGGUUCAGGCUGAGCACAGGGACAUUGCUUGGAGAAGAGGCAGCACAGCACCAGGGCUAUGGACUCUGAUUCAUGUUAGGCAGAAGGCUUCUCUGCACUGUCAUUAAAAGAGAGUGUGUGUGUGAGGCUGAUGGACUGUGCCAUGCAGCUUUGAAAUCCGAGCAGAUUCCUCCAGGCUAUGUUUACGCUACAGCAUAAUUUGUGUGUGUGAAAGAGCCUCUACUUCUAUUUCAGCAACAUUACAAGGAUGGAAGUCAUACCCUCUGACAGCCUCUUUGCUGCUCUGUGGGGACGUCCCGCAGCCCGGGGUGUCUGUGCAGGAGGGGACCCGGCUGAGCCACCGCAGCAGAGCCGUGUCCUGAGUGGAUGCAGAAACCAUCCCAAGGAGCAGCUCCUGCCCCAGAGUCACACACAGAGCCCCACUGUGGCCAUGGCCCGGCCAGAGCCUUGGGAUGCAGACAGGCAUCACUCAGACACAAACCUGCAUCUGCUUCCAAAGCCAUCAGCACGUGACAGCUCCACGUCCCAUCAAAAUGCUAUCUUUCAGAGGGAUAAUGUCCUUCAGAGGGAUGAAGAGCAGCAGUUCCAUGAACCCGAGUGACGGUCCGGUCCCUGCGUGUGACUUAAUUCAGGUGACAAUGUGGAAGCACAGCGUGGACAGACAGCCCCAAACCCUUUUAAAACGGGGAGCAGACGUGGAAGUCAGCUCAGAUCCAACAGUGACCGCACUCCCAUUCUUUUUACAUUUACAGUAAUGGAGCUGUGGGCUUCCAAGUGUCCUGCACUACUGAUUGCAGAUUUUAAUGAGCUUUAAAUUACCAAAGGGGUUUGUGGGUCAGAUGCCUUAAGAACAGGAACCGUUCCCAGAUGCUGAAUGCGGGGUUCAAAAGGCCCUCCUGAAGCCACGCAAGCAGGACACCCAUGGCCCUGCUGCCAAGAGUCUGAGUGCCCUUGCCUUGCCCUACUUAUCUGAAGAGCCUGUCAGCAUGUUCUAUAACCAGUGGAAACCACUUUAGAGCCGGAGCCAGACACCGAGGUGCCGGGGUCCACAUUUCAUUUCUCUGCAUGGGAAAGUUGUGCAGCAGAAGGGCCAGACCCUUCUCUGAGCAGCAUUCUUCUGCCUAUCUCGUUCUCAGCCCUGAGCUGGCAUGUUUGAGGAUUGACACAGGCUGUGCAGUUUGUACAUUUAUUUAUUUUUUUUCUAACAAAGAGAAAAAUGUGACCAUUAACAAUUGCUGCAGAAGGUUAAGCUUUAAGCUGUAGCAGUUUUCAGUGCAAUGUGAGAAUUUUAAUGGCGUGCUUGCAGAGAAUUCAAGCUCCACUGUGGGAAGAGUGUCUCAGCACUCUAUAACCCAAGCUCUUCUGGAUUGACCUAUAGGACAAACCCACUCCUAGCACAGCCUUGCUCUUGCCACACUGCUCCCCACAUCUUGCCCCCAUUUCCCUCAAGUAUUUCCUUCCUGGACAAGUCAAUCAGUUCUGCAUUGUGCAAGCAGGACCAGCAGCGCUUCCCCACUGGGAAGGAUGGAGGAGGUGGGCACGAGGACUUCAGAGACGUGGGAACAACAGCCCACCACAACGGCCUCUGAGCAAAGCGGUCCUACAGGAGUGGCCACAGGCCCAGCGAUGGGAGAAAAGAGCUGUAACUCACGGAGGCUCUGCAACGCAGAGAUUUCUUUGUCAGGAGAAUGUUUUCCUAGGGACAGGUUCUGCUUCUUAAGAAACACUUCAGAUAUUAUUACUUCACACAGAUUCCUGGUUGGGGAAAAAUAGUGUUUAAAACCAGCCAGAACUGUUAAAAUUUAUGGUAUCAAAAUAUAUUCUGUCAAAAUAUUUAUACCAUAAACCAUCAUCAUUAACUGUCCCCUCGUGCUGCUCUUGGGAAAGAGGGGAGAGGAAUCUGAGACGUCUGAUGUGUAAAUUCCUUCGUUUAUCACUGUUUUAUUGCCUGGCAUGGCAACAGAAAGUGGCUUUAGAGUCUGAAUGAAUCUGGGUCUGAAGGAAUUCCUGUUGUCGAACGGCCCUUCUGUGGGCUGCAGGGGUGUUUUCUGAGUGACAUAUUUCCAGAGGCACCUACACGCAUAUACACACAUACUUGGCAUCCCAGCCCACAUGCCAGCACAUGUUGUGAGCCUACAUUUACCCUCCAGGAGUUGAGUAAGCACGCUCCCAUUGAAUUAUCUGGCAGCGGGAAGGGACAUGGGGCUGUGGAUAAAGAUAGGAGGCUGAAAUAGGUCUGCAUGAGACCAGGAUGCUCUAAGCUUCAUGGCUAUGCCUUGAGGUUGUGUAAAGUUUGUGUAUAGCUGGAUAUGGAUCCAGCACACCCCACGAGACCCCACACUGCUGCUGCUUCCCCACUUAACCCAGGGGUCUGCCCAUCGGGCAGCACUGAGCUCUGCUACCGUAUCGCUCCAGGGCGAGCAAGCAGUGCUGCAGUCCUUCAUAAAAAUGAAUUGUUUUGCUUCCUGGAAUUAUUACUUUCUGCCGUAUCACUUGUCUAUUAAUUACCCGUGCUUUUGGAUGAAAAGCAGCAGACAGACAGGAGCGCAUUACGCGCGUGAUUGAAGGCGCGGGGUUACGGAGUCGUUCUCUCUUAUUAUCUCACCAAAGUUUGGGUCUAAUGGAGUGGCUGUUAAUAUUCACGUUCAUUUGACUGUGAAUGCCUGGAAAAAAAAAGCAUCUAUGGGUUUAUUUAUCUUGGCGAAGGCAGUCCAGUACAUACAAUGCAUCUUUAGUUUUUGUAACAAGUUGAAAAACAGGGUGGAAAUGGGGAUGUCUGGAGAGCACGGUGAAGGGUGUCUGGGCAAGAGCCCGCACUGGGAGCUGCAGAGGAGCCUAAGGGAGCUCCAAAGGAAUCCAAAAAAGACCAAAGGAUCUCCAAGGAGCUCCAAAGGUAUCCAAAGGAGCCCAAAGAAGCUGCAAGGAGCCCAAAGGACUCCAGAGAAGCUCUAAAGGAGCCCAAAGGAGCUCUAAAGCUGUCCAGAGGAGCCUCAGGGAGGUGCUGCAGUGGGUCCCAGGCUGUGUUCCCUCUCCUCUGCCAACUCCAUGCCCCAAGUCUGCCUUAAAACCCAACAAAUGUGUGUUUCUUUGCAUCAUAACAAAGCAGUUCUUAUUCUCUGCCUCCUCCUCUUUGUGCUAUUGGCGUUUCUGGGUUUUCAGCUGUUCCCUGUAACCGUGAGGGCUACAAAAUGUCUUCUGAAAAAAACUGAAAGUUGAGACUCUGGUAUAUUCACAGGUCUCCCAGGACAGAGGCUUUACAAAAGCCAUCAAAUACGAGGAUACGACUGAACAAGUUGGCAAUAGCAAGGUUUUCAUGUCCAAGUGUUUGUGUGAGUGAAAGCCCAGAUUCUCAUCUGUCUGAACAUUAUAUGGUGUGAUAAGGUAACAAAGUG
rnacentral:lncRNA from 1 species